CUAGCCUUGCCUUUACUAUGAAAUAAGUAAGUAAGACUUGAGCUCAAAGUCAGUGGUUUCUGCUUGGCACACCCUGCCUUGGUUACACCCUCAGUGUGUCAUGAUGGAGUUAUCAGUACUGCACGCUGUGCAGCUGAACUGCUGCUGCCCUGGCCUAACAACGCCAUGGGAGGGUUCAGCAGCAAGGCUGGGUUUUUCACUGUGAAAACAAAUAACCUUGGUUUGGGGCAGUUCUGAGCUUGGAUUGCUUGCAUCACCUGAUCUGAGGGUACUCGUUGUGGUUCGUGCCCUCAAACUGCCCUCCCACCCCACUCCUGGAAGUCCUCAUGAACACCAGAGGGGGAACCUCAGCAAUCAGUUGAUGUAUAUAUUGAAGUGAUCUGGAAUCAAUGCUGAUUUAUCUUAACUGAUUUGGAAAUAACAUCACCUUAACCCAUAAGCACGCCCGCCCCAGGUUCUGCGGGAACAACUUCAAUUGGUUGCGUCUUAGUCAAGCUAAUUUCUGCUCAUCUCAUCAGGGUUACUGCAUGGCCAAGAUCCACACUGUGCAACACCACGUGGACUUCAUACAAAUGUAUGAACCUUCCCCACAGCGUUUGCAGAGAUGAGAGCUGGCACCUUGGGCAGACUGGUGUCUGGGAUGCUGGAAUGAGAAAGGAACUGAGCAAGCAGACGCGCAGUUGACUCAGGAGGUGCCAUUGCUGGGGCUUCAAAAUCGCUGUGCAAACAAAGCCUGCUCCUCAGCCAGCUGCUUCCCAGACUCUACUGGCACAUGGGGCCACUCCAACCCACAUCUCUAUUCAGCUCCAGGAUGUUUCUGUCCGCCUGACAUUGUCCAAGUCCUGCUCAAUGGAAGCGCUGGUGCUCACCCCACCAACCACCUCAUCUGCUCUUGUCUGCACAUUUGCAGAGGGUGCUUCUGCCUCUUGUGGGAUCCACCACUAGACAUCUCCUGGCACCAUUUCCUGCACUUUCACACACUCUUCUCCCUGGCAAAGCUCUUUUAAGCGGUCCCUGCUGCAGGCUUCCCUCCCUUUCCCUCCCCACUUGUGCUGACACAGCUGUUUGGGGGCAGGCUGGCAAACCAGAUUGGUGGGCGGAUGUGGGAUACACGCGGCCCUCACAGAUAUUUUUGUCCCAGCUGCAGAU
ensembl:lncRNA